rnacentral:rRNA from 1 species
UGGGGAAUUUUGCGCAAUGGGGGAAAGCCUGACGCAGCGACGCCGCGUGGGGGAUGAAGGCCUUCGGGUUGUAAACCCCUUUCAGCAGGGACGAAGCAAAGUGACGGUACCUGCAGAAGAAGCGCCGGCUAACUACGUGCCAGCAGCCGCGGUAACACGUAGGGCGCAAGCGUUGUCCGGAAUUAUUGGGCGUAAAGAGCUCGUAGGCGGUCUGUUGCGUCCGCUGUGAAAUCUCGGGGCUUAACCCCGAGCCUGCAGUGGAUACGGGCAGACUAGAGGUAGGUAGGGGAGAAUGGAAUUCCCGGUGUAGCGGUGAAAUGCGCAGAUAUCGGGAGGAACACCGGUGGCGAAGGCGGUUCUCUGGGCCUUACCUGACGCUGAGGAGCGAAAGCGUGGGGAGCGAACAGGAUUAGAUACCCUGGUAGUCCACGCUGUAAACGUUGGGCGCUAGGUGUGGGAUCCUUCCACGGAUUCCGUGCCGCAGCUAACGCAUUAAGCGCCCCGCCUGGGGAGUACGGCCGCAAGGC